CCUACGGGGGGCAGCAGUGAGGAAUAUUGGUCAAUGGACGAAAGUCUGAACCAGCCAUGCCGCGUGCAGGAAGACGGCUCUAUGAGUUGUAAACUGCUUUUGUACAAGGGUAAACCGGAAUACGUGUAUGCAGCUGAAAGUACUGUACGAAUAAGGAUCGGCUAACUCCGUGCCAGCAGCCGCGGUAAUACGGAGGAUCCAAGCGUUAGCCGGAUUUAUGGGGUUUAAAGGGUGCGUAGGCGGAUUGAUAAGUUAGAGGUGAAAUGUCCGGGCUAAACUCGGGAACUGCCUCUAAUACUGUUGAUCUAGAGUGUACGUGCGGUAGGCGGCAU
rnacentral:rRNA from 1 species